UCCUUAUAUGACAGUUUUAAUACCCAUUGAUUGACAUGAUAACAAAAGUCUACUAUCAUUACUGUUGUUAUUAAUUCAGUAAUACUUUUAAAUGAAUUUGUAUUUACUAAUCAUAUUUGGGUAGAUUUUUAAAAUACAUAUACUGUUUGUGGAAGACGUUCAUUUAGCCUUCAGAUAGUAUCUUUGCUUGUUCAUGAGUUUAUAUACUCUUUAUAAUUACUCCAUGGCCCCCUAUAAGUUGGGAAAUUAUGAUCUAAUAACUCACUUUGUAAAGUGACUCAACCAAGGUCAUGAGUCUACUUAGUGAAAGAACCAGGUCUAGGACAGAGGUCUCCUUCUUUCCCAUCUAGUACUCUCCAUAAGAUCCUCAUUUUCUUGGCAAUAAUUCAUAACCUCACUAUUUCCACCUCCCUCUCUCCCCAGCACUUAAGCAUUUUUAGAAUGACAGGACAGCUAGGACACAGAAUGUAAAGACCCAGUGAUCAGCGUUGGUUCUCCUCUCUCCAGAAUCAAGGCAAGCCUGUUCUGAUGAGGAAACAUGAAAUGACUAAGCAGGACAAAACCACUACCUGGGAGCAGCAAGCAGUGAUCAGAAGGCCAGCAGGUUCAAUCCUUAAAGGAUCCAUGAUCUCAUCAGGAUGUCCACUGACAAACAGAUCAGACCCCCCUAUUAGAAGAGGGUCUGCUAGAUCGGCUGUGAGCAGCAACAAGGAAAUCCAUCACAGAAUCCCCAGAUUUCAACGUUGGAGUGUCCUUGACCUCAAGGAGUUUAUAUUCUAAUGAGGGAAGACACGAGGUGAAGCAACUGAGGGGCAGAGGUAGACCUGCUGCUUCCUAAGGCAGUAUGUUCCACUUUUCGAUAUCACCAAUUGUAAGAAAACGUCUCCUUUAUCAAGUCUAUUACAUAGAUGGGAAAAACAAUAUGAUUGAUUACAAAGUCAGAAGCAUGAUAGACGUGGAGGAUAAUAUGAUUGACUGAAAAUUUGGAAUUCAGGGUUAGUGACAACCCCUCCUUCCAUCUUGUCUCCAUGGAAAGCUCAUUGGUGGCAUCCACUUCCAUGGCUAGUUAGCAUCACAGUGAUAACAGACCAGACUCCCUGGCAUCCACCUGCAUCCUUCAAGGAUCACAGGUUUUCUUGACAUAAGACUAGAACAGUGAUUAGCAGGAAGACUGAAUUUCUAAACUUAAU
rnacentral:lncRNA from 1 species